rnacentral:snRNA from 1 species
AUUACAUUAUUCCAAAAAAAAAAAAAAAAAUCUGUUAUCAGUUUAAUAUCUGAUAUGUCCCCUAUACAAAGACAACAUAUUAAAGUGAUUUUUUUGAACUGGGAGCCAAAAAAGGGGCUUGCUCCGUUCGCUCCACGCAUCGACCGAGCAUUGCAGUGUCGUCAGGUGCGGUGCAACCUUC